rnacentral:rRNA from 1 species
GUGGGGAAUUUUGGACAAUGGGCGAAAGCCUGAUCCAGCCAUGCCGCGUGUAGGAUGAAGGCCUUCGGGUUGUAAACUGCUUUUGUACGGAACGAAAAGACUCCUUCUAAUAAAGGGGGUCCAUGACGGUACCGUAAGAAUAAGCACCGGCUAACUACGUGCCAGCAGCCGCGGUAAUACGUAGGGUGCAAGCGUUAAUCGGAAUUACUGGGCGUAAAGCGUGCGCAGGCGGUUAUAUAAGACAGAUGUGAAAUCCCCGGGCUCAACCUGGGAACUGCAUUUGUGACUGUAUAGCUAGAGUACGGUAGAGGGGGAUGGAAUUCCGCGUGUAGCAGUGAAAUGCGUAGAUAUGCGGAGGAACACCGAUGGCGAAGGCAAUCCCCUGGACCUGUACUGACGCUCAUGCACGAAAGCGUGGGGAGCAAACAGGAUUAGAUACCCUUGUAGUCC